rnacentral:tRNA from 1 species
ACCUGACUGGUUCAGUAGGUAGAGCAUGUGAUUCUUGAUCUCAGGGUCAUGAGUUCAAGCGCCAUGUUAGGCA